rnacentral:lncRNA from 1 species
UGUUUGGGUUCAACUUGUUUGGGGCCCUCUGUGCUUCCUGUAUCUUGAUAACUGUUUUCAGCCAUAAUUUCCUCAAAUAUAUUUUCAAUCCCUGUCUCUUUUUCUUCUUCUGGAAUCCCUAUAAUGCAUAGGUUGACCUGUUUUAUAUUAUCCCAUAGCUCUCUUAUAUUGCUUUCAUAUUUUUUCAUUGGUUUUCUGUUGCUGUCCUGAUUGGGUGAUUUCCAUUAUUUUAUCUUCCAAGUCACUAAUUCAUUUCCCUGCAUUAUUCAUUCUGCUCUUCAGUGCCCUUAACUCAGCCUACAUCUCUGCAAGUGAAUUUUUAAAUUUUUCUUGGCUUUUCCUUAUAUUUUCUAGUUCCUUUCUAAAGUAACCUGCAUUACUGUCAUAGCUGCUCUUAAUUCAUUCAUAUUUGCUCUUAAUUCCUUUAGCAUUUUGACUAUCUUCUUUUUGAACUUGGUGUCUGUUAGAAUGCAGAGGUCUGUUUCAUUGUUUGCUCCUUUAGGUAAAUUCUCUUGUUUUAUUAACUGGGAAUGGUUCCUGAGCUUCUUCAUUUUGCUUAUAUUUUUCUCAUUCUGUGAGUUUAGGAAAAACAACUACUGUAGUCUUGGAGGGCUCUUUAUAUUUAUGAGCACCCCUGGGUAUUUUGUGAGUACUUACUGUCUAUAUUUAGGGUGCUAUUUGUACUUGCAGGGAGAUGGAGGCAGUGGGCAGGGCUAGUAGCCAGUGCCUGGUUGCUGGUCUCCUAACAGUGGCAAUGAGCCAUGGGAAGGUGGUGCAGGCUGCUCCUAGUUGCUGGGCUCUGGGAAGUGACAGUUAUUUGUAGGUGACACCUGGAGAGUUUGGCAGUGGCAGCAGCAGAGUGAGUGUGUGUGUGUGUGUGUGUGUGUGUGUGUGUGUGUGCAUGCGCACAUUCCCAGGGAAGUGAGAACAGCAACAGGUGGUGCUUGGUUGCAUUGCCUUCCUGUGUGCUGACCUCUGAGGUAACUGGGGCCACAGGUGUUACCUGUUCACAGACAGGUAGUGUCUGUGGUGUUCACCACAGUUAGUGGUGGUGAGCCACACCCACCUCUGGUGUCUGACAUGACUGCCAUGGUUUGCCCCUGUGGCCUAUAGACCAGGCAAGAGACACCACUUUGUGCUUAGUCCCACUGCCCUUAGCCUUUGCAAGAGGUGCCCAGCCACCUGUAGCCCAUACAAGAGGCAUCCUGUUGCCAGUAGGCACUCUGCCCUCUGAGAGUCUGCGUGCACAGGGAAAGGUAUUCCUAUGGCAGUCUGCCCCUCAUCCUCUCACCCUCCCCAGUUAUGGUGCCUUGCUUCUCCUGUGGGCCCAGGCCUCCUCCUGGGUUCCCUUGGCUGUGGUGCUCUGCUCCCCAGCCCAUGGUGUACAGCUCCCUAGCCUUUCAGGCUGUCUCUACCCAGAGAACCCCAGUCCUCUCCCUGGAACUGACCUCCAGAGCCUGAGUCUCAGCACUCAACCCCCCACCACUGUGGUGUCUCAGGCUGUGAUGUCCAAAGAGGUGGUUCUGAUGGUCUCCGUGGCUCUCUCUCUACUUUGUCUUCCUCAGUCCAGCUGCUGUGCUUUUCUCUGAGGCUUUGCGGUCCCUCUGGCUCAGCUGAUCUCACCAUCAGUUAGGUGGCUUCCCAGGGUAUGGGUUCCUUUCUUCUUUCACAGCUCCCUCUCAGGAGUGCUAGUCCCAUCCUGAUUCCUUCUUCUUUUCUCUCUCUCUCUCCCCCCUCUUUUGUUUUAUCCAGUUAUGUGGAGGAUUUCUUGCCCUUUUUGGAAUUUUAAGGUGUUCUGCCAGUGUUCAGUAGAUGUGCUCUGCAAAUUGUUCUACAUGUAGUUUUUUUGUUUUGUUUUGUUUUUUUUUGAUGUGUUUGUGGGAGAAAGUGAGCGCCACGUCUUACUUCUCCACCAUCUUUAUCCCCCCUCCACUGGUUUUUAAAGGUAGUGUUUGGGGGGCUUUGUGUGUCUCAAAAGCAGGAGUUAAACAUUGAAGUGCCUGAUGUGGGAUUCAAGCCCUUAGCUCCGUAGGGAGAAGCUCUGGUUUCAAGUCCCUUUCUGGUUGUGGGUUACCACACCAGGGUUGGUUUUAACUCUCUUCUACCUGCUUCAAUCUGGGUUUUUUCCUCAUUUGCCUGGUGUGUGGCAUUUGCUUGCUAGUCUCCCGCUCCCCUGAGGAAAUUAUUCAUGUAUGGCUAUAGAUUUAGUGUGUCUGAGGGAGGAGGUGUGUUCAGGAUCUUCCUAAGUCACUAUUUGGCACUGAAAUUUUCAAAUACCAGUCUUUGAGACCUUCCCAGAUAUUCCUAGCUAAAAUUACGACCCUUUAAGAAAGUCCUAUAACUCUAAUCAUGUUAUACCUUGUUUAUAGUGAUUCGGUCAGACAGUGUAUUUUCUUUACUGAAUUAUGGUGGUGAAGAGGGUGGUUCUAUGUUUAUUUUUAUGACUCCCUCAAGGAUUAGAGGAAUGUUUGGAAUUUGGUGGGCUCUUGAGAUGUGGGUAAAACAUUGGAAGGAAGGCAGAAGAGGAAAAUAAAUCUGUACACCCAUGGUAUCUUCCUUACCCUUAAAGAAUGUAUUUAUACUUAGAGAUGUGUAUUUACAUUAAUGUGUCAUGCCAUUAAACUGGGGACGUCUGGUGCUAGAUAAGAUGGUGAGCAAAGAAUGGCUGCUGGCUCUUUCUCAUGCACAACAAUUCUGGAGACACCAGACAGGAGAGCUUCACAACCUGGAAUAUGUGGGAAAUUUUCAACCUAAUGAAAGACAACGGCCAAAAAUCAACAGCAAAUAUCACUUUUAACAAAAACUUUAGAUGUAGUAUUAUCUAGGCCUAUGUUUGCUGCAUGUCAAUGAAACCCAAACAACAGUGUUUUAAACACCCAGGGCCUGGCUUUUCCACAUAACAAGCAGGAAGUCAGAGGUGGCUGGUACAGCCCUGUGCAUGGCCUCACAAAACUUCAGUGUUCUCGGCCCCUUCUCGCUCUCCACUCCACCAUCUCACACCUUCACCUUUUCUUCUUAUAUUCCUAAGGUGGUUUCUGCCUUUUCAGGUACCAUAGUCCAGGCAGGAAGAAGUGGGUGGAGAGAAGGGUAAAGAGAUGUGGACCAAGCCAGCUGGGCUUGCUGGACAGAUUUGUCUUCCUAACAUUUCAUUGGCUUGGACUGUGUUACACGACUUCUUUCAGUUGGUUCAAAGGCAGCUACAUUUCAUUUAUAUAAACAACAUUGGUUUCUGUGAGAAAGGGAAAAAUAAGAGACUUGAAAAGGAAUGAAUAACUAGUAGUGUCUGCUUUGUAUUCACUUUGGGUUUGAGAAAAACGCAGUGAUCCCAACCAUGACCACUGCCUACUAAAUUAGUACUUGAUGUCUUGACUAUUGCAAAAAAGUCAGAAAUAAACUGGAGUUCCCGUCGUGGCUCAGUGGUAACGAAUCCGACUAAGAACCACAAGGUUGUGGGUCCGAUCCCUGCCUUGCUCAGUGGGUUAAGGACCCGGCGUUGCCGUGAGCUGUGGUGUAGGUUGCAGAUGCGGCUUGGAUCCCGUGUUGCUGUGGCUCUGGCGUAGGCCGGUGGCUACAGCUCUGAUUCGACUCCUGGCCUGGGAACUUCUGUAUGCCGCGGGAGCGGCCCAAGAAAUGGCAAAAAGACAAAAAACAAAAGAAACAAACAAAAAAAAAACAUGAUAUAACUUUGUCAAACUUCUGUGCCAGGCUGCAGAAACCAUAUCUAGUUGGUUUAAAAGAACGUAACUUCGGAGUUCCUGCUGUGGUGCAGUAGGAUCGAUGGCAUCUUGGGAGCACAGGGAUGCAGGUUUGAUCCCCAGCCUAGCACAGUGGGUUAAGGAUCUGGCGUUGCUGCAGCUGUGGCUUAGGUCACAACUGCGGCUUGAAUCUGAUGAUCCCUGGCCCAAAAACUCCAUAUGCUAUGGGGUGGUCAAAAGAAAAAAAAGUAGUGUGGAGUCUAUGAAGCUGACCACAUACAAAUUUGGAAUCUAUGUAUCUGGGAAUAACACCCACAGGACACACCAGACACCUCUCCUGUGGAGAGGCCAUGAGUGUCACCAUUUGGUAGAUGCUGUGUGGAAACUGACAAUUCUACCAAUCUAGGCACUGGGGAUUAUGGCCAGAAUCUCUGCCACAGCCCAAUCUCUGCCUUCUCUCUCCCUUUCAGAAUGAUUCUUCAUGAUGCUUUACCCUUUAUUUCAUUAAUCUUCUUUUCAAAAGUCUGUGCUCUAGCUGCACAGGAGUCUGGAAAAAGCAAGUUUCUAUCUUUUAUCAUGGGAGCUGGUGACUUAAAAGGAGAGAAAUCUCUUUGAAUAUCUUGGAAGGAUGUUUAAAGAUGCUAGGUAGCCAGAAAGGGUGAUACAUGUCUGUUAUAACAGAGAAGGAUGGGCAAGAAAGGGACAAAAUUCUCCUUUUUAGAUGUUCAUCAUUUAUAUAGAUACCUCUUCAAAUUCAACCAGUUUUUAGAACUGAAAAGAGAGUUCUGCAAGACAGCCAGAUGUGUGAUCAAUGUAUAAAAAUUCAUUCUUCCUUACCGAAAAUAACCUAUUAGAAGUUUGUAUAGAAAAUAUUUUAAUAGCAACACAACAUAUAAUAUAUUGAAAUUAAGCUAAUAAAGAAUAUAAAAAUUAUUAUAGAAAAUUUGACUAUGAAAGAAUUUUUUAAAAACCUGAAUAAAUGAAACAAAAUAUCAUGCUAAUGAAUGAGAUAAUUUAACAUUUUAAAAGUUUAAUUCUCCCAAAAUUAGUCUGUAAAUUCAGUGCAAUUUAUUAAACAACUCCAAAAGGAUUUUUUGAGGUAAAUCAACAAAAUGAUUCUCAAAUAUAUUUGAAAAAAAAGACCAAAAAAAAAAAAAAAUGGAGUUCCUGUCGUGGCGCAGUGGUUAACGAAUCCGACUAGGAACCAUGAGGUUGCGGGUUCGGUCCCUGCCCUUGCUCAGUGGGUUGACGAUCCGGCGUUGCCGUGAGCUGUGGUGUAGGUUGCAGACGCGGCUUGGAUCUCGUGUUGCUGUGGCUCUGGUGUAGGCCGCGGCUACAGCUCCGAUUGGACCCCUAGCCUGGGAAUCUCCAUAUGCCGCGGGAGUGGCCCAAGAAAUG